GAUGAACGCUGACAGAAUGCUUAACACAUGCAAGUCAACUUGAAUUUGGGUUUUUAACUUAGGUUUGGGUGGCGGACGGGUGAGUAACGCGUAAAGAACUUGCCUCACAGCUAGGGACAACAUUUGGAAACGAAUGCUAAUACCUAAUAUUAUGAUAAUAGGGCAUCCUAUAAUUAUGAAAGCUAUAAGCGCUGUGAGAGAGCUUUGCGUCCCAUUAGCUAGUUGGAGAGGUAACGGCUCACCAAGGCGAUGAUGGGUAGCCGGCCUGAGAGGGUGAUCGGCCACAAGGGGACUGAGACACGGCCCUUACUCCUACGGGAGGCAGCAGUGGGGAAUAUUGGACAAUGGACCGAGAGUCUGAUCCAGCAAUUCUGUGUGAACGAUGAAGUUUUUCGGAAUGUAAAGUGCUUUCAGUUGGGAAGAAACAAAUGACGGUACCAACAGAAGAAGUGACGGCUAAAUACGUG
rnacentral:rRNA from 1 species